rnacentral:ribozyme from 14 species
AGAAAAAAGUUCAGAUAGGCUAUUGCUACCUCUGCUCAUGCCAUUUUCAUUUUUCUUUCUUUCUUUUUUCUUUUUUCUUUCUUU